CUACUUAUUUGCUGGAGGAGCAGAGGCUAGCUGAGAAACUAAGGGCCCAGGAAGGAGAGGCUGUAUGGCUAAUUCUGCCAGACAGGAGGCCUAUAGUGCCAGAAGCCCUGGGGUGGACCAUCGCUUCCCAGACCCAUCAGAGCACCCAUCUGGGGGGGAACAAAGCUAUCAGAACUACUAGGAAGAGAAUUUUACAUCCCAGGGCUCCAGAAAAUAUCUCAAGAGUUGGCUAGAAGGUACCAAGUGUGUGCCCAGGUGAAUCAAGGGCCCCCUGUUGUGGCCGCUCCAGGACAGCGAUUCCAAGGUCAGAACCCCAGAGAACACUGGGAAGUGGACUUCACCGAGAUACCAGGAGGACAAAGUGGGUAUAAAUACUUGCUGGUUUUCAUUGAUACCUUCUCUGGCUGGCCUGAGGCAUACCCAACCAAGGCAGAGACAGCACAGGUAGUAGUUAGGAAACUCCUCACUGAAAUUGUCCCCCGGUUUGGCCUGCCACUAUAUAUGGGGUCCGACGAUGGCCUGGCGUUUAUAGCCAAAGUUACACAAUCCAUAGUUAAGGCUCUGAGAGUUACUUGGAAAUUGCAUUGUGUUUAUAGACCACAGAGUUCUGGACAGGUAGAGAGGAUGAAUCAGACCUUGAAGGAAACAUUAACUAAGUUAAAAUUAGAGACUGGCGAAAACUGGGUAAGUCUCCUUCCUUUUGCCCUCCUCAGAGCUAGGUGCACCCUGUACAUAAAAGGACUCACCCCUUUUGAAAUUAUGUUUGGCAGGCCACCACCUCUUCUUCCCUGCCUAAGGGAGGAAGAAAUUGCCCGGCUGUCUACCCGAAAUUUGCUUAAGUCCUUACAGGCUUUGCAGAGCAGCGCCAUGUCAGCACAACGGGUGGUGAGAGCCAUAGGAGAGGAGAACACACCAAGAACCGGUCCAAUGCAGCCUGCCUUCUCUCCGGUGAUCUCGUAUGGGUGAAGUGCCACGACCCUAGCAGCCUGGAACCUAGAUGGGAUGGACCCUACCAGGUGGUGCUGAGCACUCCAACUGCCAUCAAAGUCGCAGGAAAGAGGCACUGGAAAUUGUAACCCCGUCUUUCUCAUGCCUCUCGCCUGGUGAACUGACCAAUGGGAAGGAGAAAGACGUAGGGACUGAAACUCUAUGUCAGCGGCCGAGACCCUGGCCAGUUCUUCACCAUCAAAUGCCAGACUCUUCCCUGGUGGCUCGACCCCUACAUUGCCAAAUGCCUCCUGAAUUUCAUAUCGUAGAGGAGGGCACUGAAUCAAAGAUUUGAUUCCGGCAUAAGACCAGUAGGGAAUGUGCUAGGGUGAGGAACUGUGGCAUGGAAGGGUUACAGAAUGUUACAGAAUGUGCUGGGAGGGGG